GGCGGGACACGUGGUAUCCUGUCUGAAUAUGGGGGGACCAUCCUCCAAGGCUAAAUACUCCUGACUGACCGAUAGUGAACCAGUACCGUGAGGGAAAGGCGAAAAGAACCCCGGCGAGGGGAGUGAAAAAGAACCUGAAACCGUGUACGUACAAGCAGUGGGAGCACCCUUUGGGGUGUGACUGCGUACCUUUUGUAUAAUGGGUCAGCGACUUAUAUUCUGUAGCAAGGUUAACCGAAUAGGGGAGCCGGAGGGAAACCGAGUCUUAAUUGGGCGUUAAGUUGCAGGGUAUAGACCCGAAACCCGGUGAUCUAGCCAUGGGCAGGUUGAAGGUUGGGUAACACUAACUGGAGGACCGAACCGACUAAUGUUGAAAAAUUAGCGGAUGACCUGUGGCUGGGGGUGAAAGGCCAAUCAAACCGGGAGAUAGCUGGUUCUCCCCGAAAGCUAUUUAGGUAGCGCCUCGUGAAUUCAUCUCCGGGGGUAGAGCACUGUUUCGGCUAGGGGGCCAUCCCGGCUUACCAACCCGAUGCAAACUGCGAAUACCGGAGAAUGUUAUCACGGGAGACACACGGCGGGUGCUAACGUCCGUCGUGAAGAGGGAAACAACCCAGACCGCCAGCUAAGGUCCCAAAGUCAUGGUUAAGUGGGAAACGAUGUGGGAAGGCCCAGACAGCCAGGAUGUUGGCUUAGAAGCAGCCAUCAUUUAAAGAAAGCGUAAUAGCUCACUGGUCGAGUCGGCCUGCGCGGAAGAUGUAACGGGGCUAAACCAUGCACCGAAGCUGCGGCAGCGACACUCAGGUGUUGUUGGGUAGGGGAGCG
rnacentral:rRNA from 1 species